rnacentral:rRNA from 1 species
GACGAACGCUGGCGGCGUGCUUAACACAUGCAAGUCGAACGAGUGGCGCACGGGUGAGUAAUACGUGGGUAACCUGCCCUCUUUAUGGGAUAAGCCUUGGAAACGGGGUCUAAUAACGAAUAAAGGGGGAUGGGCUCGCGGCGUAUCAGCUUGUGGGGGGGGUUAUGGCCUACCGAGGCGGUGACGGGUAGCCGGCCGGAGAGGUUGACCGGCCACAUGGGGAAGGGGAUACGGCCCAGACUCCUACGGGAGGCAGCAGUGGGGGAUAUUGCACAAGGGGCGAAAGCCUGAUGCAGCGACGCCGCGUGGGGGAUGAAGGCUUUCGGGUUGUAAACCUCGUUCGCUAGCGAACGGGUAGGUGGAGAAGAAGCGCCGGCUAACUACGUGCCAGCAGCCGCGGUAAUUC